ensembl:misc_RNA Metazoa_SRP Metazoan signal recognition particle RNA
GCCGGGCGCGGUGGCUCACGCCUGUAAUCCCAGCACUUUGGGAGGCUGAGGUGGGAGGAUCACCUGAGGUCGGGAGUUCAAGACCAGCCUGACCAACAUGGAGAAACCCCGUCUCUA